GGGGAAUAUUGGACAAUGGGCGAAAGCCUGAUCCAGCCAUGCCGCGUGUGUGAAGAAGGUCUUAGGAUUGUAAAGCACUUUAAGUUGGGAGGAAGGGCUGUUACCUAAUACGUGACAAUCUUGACGUUACCAACAGAAUAAGCACCGGCUAACUCUGUGCCAGCAGCCGCGGUAAUACAGAGGGUGCAAGCGCUAAUCGGAAUUACUGGGCGUAAAGCGCGCGUAGGUGGUUCAGUAAGAUGGAAGUGAAAUCCCCGGGCUCAACCUGGGAACUGCUUUCAUAACUGCUGAGCUAGAGUACGGUAGAGGGUAGUGGAAUUUCCUGUGUAGCGGUGAAAUGCGCAGAUAUAGGAAGGAACACCAGUGGCGAAGGCGACUACCUGGACUGGUACUGACACUGAGGUGCGAAAGCGUGGGGAGCAAAC
rnacentral:rRNA from 1 species